UCUAGCUGGUUCUUGGGUCAAUGGACCAUGAGAACUGACUAAUCCCAGGACGAGGGGAAGCCAUGUGAAAACCUCUAACACUCACACAUUUGUGGAGUAGUUUUUAGGGUAGAUCAAACUUUGGAUAGCUCAUUACAACUUUUUUUAGUCUGAUCACUACCACUAGACCAAGCUUGUGUGGGCAAAAAGACUUCGUUCUCAAGGGCGGACCUAGUAAAGAAGAAGGGGGUCACUUGACCCAAGUUGAAUA